GGGAGCUCUGGCUGCGACAUAAGUCAGCCCACUGAUUGCCAAGUUUGGUUUGACAUAACUGGCAAGGCAGGGGUCUUCACAACUCCAUGUGCAUCCUCCCUGUACCUGUGCACAGGUACAGUAGGUGUACCUGUACCACCUACUCGGUGGAAAAGGACAACCUUCCUGAUAUAGGAGGAUGAUCACAUGGUCAAAUGCACACCAGGAGCUGUACUCCCUUGUUAGAACCUCCAAACAAGAUCUCCAAUAAGAACAACCUCAUAAGCAUUUCCAGACUAUAUACAUGCAUAAAGCACAUAAAAUAACACCUGACCUAU
rnacentral:snRNA from 1 species